rnacentral:lncRNA from 1 species
GUGCCCCUGCUCACAGCUGUGAGCACAGGCUUUGCACAGGCUGUCUGGAAACCGGCACAGCUACGUUCAUCAGAAGAAACAGUUGCAGCCGGACGCGGUGGCUCAUGCCUGUAAUCCCAACCCUUUGGGAGGCUGAGAUGAAGCGAAGGAUGAAUAUUAUCCCAGGCUAAAGUAAUGAAAAGUCCAGAAGCCAGCGAUGACAGAGAUGUGUGUGGAAGAAGGCUGUGAGCAUUUCCAUCAAACCCUGUGGAUUUCCGAAGAUCUUAUCCCGAAGAUAUGUGUUUGGCCAAUAAAACAGCAGUGCAGCAAGCCCUGCCCACUUCCUGCUCACGUGCCUAGUCUGCAACGACCAUUUACUUCAGGAUAUGAAGUCAACAGCAGAGCCCAAACAAUAGUGAAGUGGCUCCCAGAGCCAAACUCGCCGGCCUGCUUACCGGCUCAGAAUUGCCCCAUCUUCAACACGAACAAGUGCUUCUGGAACAAAUACCAGCCAAUUGCACACAGUCCAGGGCUUUGACAUGAAAUAUGAAUCAACUCUACAUUUAUACACGACAGUGUCAAUUUUUUAUCUAUUGGAGUUACUAUAUUCCUUUGGUGGCAGAACGGAGGUUCCCAGGGGAGCUAUUAAGAAAAAGCUUUUCUGGCCCAGGUGCAGUGGCUCACGCCUGUAAUCCCAGCACUUUGGGAGGCCAAGGCUGGUAGAUCACCUGAGGAGUUUGAGACCAGCCUGGCCAACAUGGUGAAACCCCAUCUCUACUAAAAAUACAAAGAUUAGUCGGGCAUGAUGGUGCAUGCCUGUAAUCCCAGCUACUUGGGAGGGUAAGGCAGGAGAAUUGCUUGAAUCUGAGAGGCGGAGGUUACAGUGAGCCAAGAUUGUGCCACUGCACUCUGGACUGGGUGACAGAGCAAGACUCUGUCUCAAAAAAAGAAAAAAAAAAAAAAAAAAAAAAAAAAAAAAAAAAAAAAGCUUUUCUGGCCUGGCAUGGUGGUGCAUGCCUGUAAUCCCAGCUACUUGGGAGGCUGAGGCAGGAGAAUCAUUUGAACCCAGGAGGCGGAGGUUUCAGUGAUCAUGCCAUGGCACUCCAACCUGGUCAACAAGAGCGAAACUCUGUCUCAAACAAACAAACAAACAAAAGACAGCUGGCCAAACAGCAAUAUGUNNNNNNNNNNNNNNNNNNNNNNNNNAAUUUUUUUUUUUUUUUUUAAAUAACAAAUUGU